ensembl:snRNA U6 U6 spliceosomal RNA
AUGCUCACCUCUGCAGCACACACACUAGAGCUUUAACAGCACAGAGAAGGCUGGCAUGGCCCCUGCAUAAGGAUGGCAUGCAAGUCUGUAUGCUGUUCUGUUAUUAU